CGCGAAUGGCUCAUUACAACAGCCGUUGUUUCUUGGAUCUCUAAUUUUACUUGGAUAACUGUGGUAAUUCUAGAGCUAAUACACGCACUAAAGCUCUGACCUUACGGGACGAGCGCAUUUAUUAGAACAAAACCAAUCGGGCUUUGGCCUGUUCGUUGGUGACUCUGAAUAACUCUGCCGAUCGCACGGUCUCGCACCGGCGACGUAUCUUUCAAGUGUCUGCCUUAUCAACUUUCGAUGGUAGUUUAUGUGCCUACCAUGGUUGUAACGGGUAACGGAGAAUAAGGGUUCGACUCCGGAAAGGGAGCCUGAGAAACGGCUACCACAUCCAAGGAAGGCAGCAGGCGCGCAAAUUACCCACUCUCAGCACGAGGAGGUAGUGACGAAAAAUAACAAGACGGAUCUCUUUGAGGCCCGUUAUUGGAAUGAGAACAACUCAAAUCCUUCAACGAGGAUCUAGCGGAGGGCAAGUCUGGUGCCAGCAGCCGCGGUAAUUCCAGCUCCGCAGGUGUAUAUCUAUGCUGCUGCGGUUAAAAAGCUCGUAGUUGGAUCUGCGUGCUCGGAACUGGUUGGCUCACUGAAUUCAAACUGGUCUCCGGCGCUUUAUUUGCUAGUUUUCCCUUGAUGCUCUUAACCGGGUGUCUCGGGUAGCUAGCGUGUUUACUUUGAAAAAAUUAGAGUGCUCAAUACAGGCGCAAAGCCUUGAAUAGUGGUGCAUAGAAUAAUAAAAUAGGACCUCGGCUCUAUUUUGUUGGUUUUCAGAACACGAGGUAAUGAUUAAAAGGGACAGACGGGGGCAUUCGUAUUGCGACGUUAGAGGUGAAAUUCUUGGAUCAUCGCAAGACGGACGACUGCGAAAACAUUUACCAAGAAUGUUUUCAUUAAUCAAGAACGAAAGUUAGAGGUUCGAAGGCGAUCAGAUACCGCCC
rnacentral:rRNA from 1 species